rnacentral:sRNA from 1 species
GGAUCCUUCUGGGUCUACGGGAGCCUGUGUAUCCCGACUUUAAACACUGGAUACAAGUGGCUCCGGCUGCUACAUAAUCGAAUUGCGGGGACUUCCUAAAGCCUCUCUCACUUUCGGCCCGGGAAACCGGUCUGUAUAGUUACAGUAGAGAGGAUGCUCCAAUGGAUAAUCCGCAGCGAAGCUCCUACCGGCGAGAGCCCACGGGGAACGUUCACAGACUAAGUGGUUAUGGGUAGGUUUCAUCCUGCUUAAGAUAUAGUCGGCCUCCCCUGGAAACAGAGGAUCUUAUAGCGUUCCGUAGGUGAACCUGCGGAAGGAUCAUUACAGAGUUCAUGCCCUUCGGGGUAGAUCUCCCACCCUUGUAUACUAUAACAAAAUGUUGCCUUGGCGGGUGUAGCUUGCUACCCGGGUUUCGGCCCGGUCCGCCCGCCAAAGGACCCCCAGACUCUGAAUAUUAGUGUCGUCUGAGUACUAUAUAAUAGUUAAAACUUUCAACAACGGAUCUCUUGGUUCUGGCAUCGAUGAAGAACGCAGCGAAAUGCGAUAAGUAAUGUGAAUUGCAGAAUUCAGUGAAUCAUCGAAUCUUUGAACGCACAUUGCGCCCCUUGGUAUUCCGAGGGGCAUGCCUGUUCGAGCGUCAUUAUGACCAAUCUAGCCUGGCUAGGUAUUGGGCUCCGCCGGGUGGCGGGCCUUAAAAUCAGUGGCGGUGCCUUCAGGCUCUACGCGUAGUAACUUUUCUCGCUAUAGAGUCCUGGGGGAUGCUGGCCAGCAACCUCAACUUUCUUAGG